rnacentral:rRNA from 1 species
UACGUAGGGUGCGAGCGUUAAUCGGAAUUACUGGGCGUAAAGCGUGCGCAGGCGGUUCGUUAAGUCAGCUGUGAAAGCCCCGGGCUCAACCUGGGAAUUGCGGUUGAAACUGGCGAACUAGAAUCUGGCAGAGGGGGGUGGAAUUCCACGUGUAGCAGGUGAAAUGCGUAGAGAUGUGGAGGAACACCGAUGGCGAAGGCAGCCCCCUGGGCUGAGAUUGACGCUCAGGCACGAAAGCGUGGGGAGCAAACGGG